rnacentral:rRNA from 1 species
UACGGAGGGUGCAAGCGUUGCUCGGAAUUAUUGGGCGUAAAGGGCAGGUAGGUGGUCUCGUUUGUCUAGGGUGAAAGCCUUGAGCUUAACUCAAGAAGUGCCCUAGAAACUGCGAGACUAGAGUUCUGGAGAGGGUCGUGGAAUUCCCGGUGUAGCGGUGAAAUGCGUAGAGAUCGGGAGGAACACCAGAGGCGAAAGCGGCGACCUGGACAGAUACUGACGCUGAGGCGCGAAAGCGUGGGUAGCAAACAGG